rnacentral:lncRNA from 1 species
GAUCAUCUGAGGUCGGGAGUUUAGACCAGCCUGGCCAACAUUGUGAAACCCCAUCUCUACUAAAAAUACAAAAAUUAGCUGGGUGUGGUGGCGCACACUUGUAAUCCCAGCUACUUGGGAGGCUGAGGCAGUAGAAUCACUUGAACCUGGGAGGCGNNNNNNNNNNNNNNNNNNNNNNNNNNNNNNNNNNNNNNNNUGCACUCCAGCCUGGGCAACAGAGGGAGACUCCAUCUCAAAAAGAGAAAAUAAUUAUAAAAGUUGCUUUAAAAUCCUUGCUGCUAAUUCCCAAGAUUAGAAAUUCCAACAUCUGAGUCAUAACUUUUUCUCUUUGGGAGUGAGUUUUGAGUAUGAUUCCAUUUUCUGUUUCUUCAUAUGCCUAGUACUUGUUUAUUGUAGCUGGACAUUGUCAAGACUAUGGAUUUUGUUAUGUUCCUCUGAAGAGUGUUAAUUUUGUUCUAACAGGCAAUUAACCUGGUUGGACUGAAACUCCAAUCUUUGUGAAAGGCAGUAGCUGGAAUUCCUACUCUGUUCUUGCUCCCAGCUGCUGAUUUUACUGGGACUCCUGGAGACUCCUGCGCAUAUGUGCAGUUGGACAACCAAGGAUUUGGACAGAGUUUAUAUACAGAUUUUGGGACUUGUUUGCUCUAUAGAAUUUCUUUCUGUGAGUUCCCUCUUAAUUUUCCAGCCACACUUCUCGCCUAGAACUCUGUACUCGGCACCUCAAACCAGUAAGACCGUAGCUUUCUAUGCAUUUCCACCUCCCACACAAAUUACAGAGUGCCCUCACACAAAUAACCACAAAAAUAUAAGUCUAGUACAGGGCAGCUCCCACCUUUCAAGAGUUGAUUUUCCUCACAUUUCUAAUUGCUGUUAGGUGUUCUUUAGUGCCUUCAAAUAUUUGGGUUUGGUUGUUGUUUAUUUUAUUCAGGUUUUUGGUUUUUUGUUUUGGUUUUGUUUUGAGAUGGAGUUUUGCUCUUGUCGCCCAGGCUAGAGUGCAAUGGCACGAUCUGAGCUCACUGCAACCUCUGCCUCCCAGGUUCGAGUGAUCCUCCUGCCUCAGCCUCCUGAGUAGCUGGGAAUACAGGCAUGCACCACCACGCCUGGGUAAUUUUUGUAUUUUUAAUAGAGACAGGGGUUUCACCAUGUUGACCAGGCUGGUCAUGAAUUCCUGACCUCAGGUGAUCCACCUGCCUCGGUCUCUUAAAGUGCUGGGAUUACAGGUGUGAGCCACUGUGCCCAGCCAGGUUUUUUGUUGUUGUUGUUAUUGUUUUGUUUUUAAGAGACAGGAUCUUGCUUUGUUGCCCAGGCUGGAGCACAGUGGUAUGAUCAUAGCAAACUGCAGCCUUGAACUCCUGAGCUCCAGCAAUCCUCCUGCCUCAGCCUCCCAAGUAGCUGGGACUACCAGCGCAUAUCACCAUGCCUAGUUAAUUUUUUGAAAACUAUUUUGAUAGAGAUGGAGUCUUGCUGUGUUGCCCAGGCUGGUCUUGAACUCAUGGCCUCAAGCGAUCCUCUCACCUAAGUCUCCAAAGGUGCUAAGAUUACAGGCAUGAGCCACUGUACCUGGCCUUGUUUCAGGUUUUUUUUUGUUUUUGUUUUUGUUUUUGNNNNNNNNNNNNNNNNNNNNNNNNNNNNNNNNNNNNNNNNNNNNNNNNNNNNNNNNNNNNNNNNNNNNACUUCCUGGGUUCAAGUGAUUCUCCUGCCUCAGCCACCCGAGCAGCUGGGAUUACAGGUGUGCACCACAAGCCUGGCUAAUUUUUUGUGUAUUUUUAGUAGAGAUGAGGUUUCGUCAUGUUGGCCAGGCUGGUCUCAAACUCCUGACCUCAAAUGAUCUGUCUUCCUCAGCCUCCAAAAGUGCUGGAAUUACAGGCGUGAACCACGGCACCUGGCCCUUGUUUCAGUUUUAUAAUUGCUAUCUGAGGCAUGAUUAUUCUGACCAAAUUAUUGUGCUAUUAGGGAAACCAUUUGUUUAAGUUCACAUAGCUAGUUUGUGGAAGAGCCAAAAUCUAAAACCAGUCAGAUUACAUAAUCCUAUGCUUGCUCCAGUUCACCACUAUUCCUAAACACCUCAAGGUGGUUUGGAUUCCAGCCUAGAGCCCUCUGGAAAGUAUUUGGGGCUGGAAGGAGGAAAGAGCCCUCAAAACUCCUAUUCAGGCUAGGGCAGUAGUUGCCCAGGCUGGAGUGCAGUGGAACAAUCUUGGCUCACUGCAACCUCUGCCUGCCGGGAUCAAGCAAUUCUCCUGCCUCAGACUUCUGAGUAGCUGGGAUUACAGGCGUACACCACCAAGCCCAGCUAAUUUUUGCAUUUUAAUAAAAUCACAAAGCCAGACUUAGAUAGUUGAAAGUGCCCACCUCUGUUCCUGAGAGUUGGGCCUGAGACAGAGGAUUCUAAGUGGAAACCACGCUCAACUAAGAGGACCCAAGAAAGGCAAGUUCUUUUUAAAAAUUUUUUUUUCAUUUUUUGUCUCUCUCUGUCACCCAGGCUGGAGUGCAAUGGUGCAAUCAUGGCUCACUGCAGCUUUAUCCUCCUGGGCUCAAGCCAUCUUCCCACCUCAGCCUCCCAAGUAGCUGGGACUACAGGCACAUGCCACCAUGCCUGGCUAAUUUUUAUAUUUGUUGUAGACAAGUUUUCACCAUGUUGCCCAGGCUAAGUCAAACUUUUCUUUUUUUUCUAUUUUUUAUUUUUUUUAAUUAUUAUUUUUUGAGAUGCAGUCUCGCUCUGUCGCCCAGGCUGAAGUGCCAUCUCUGCUCACUGCAAACUCCACUUCCUGGGUUCCUCAGCCUCCCGAGUAGCUGGGACUACAGGUGCCUGCCACCACGCCCAGCUAAUUUUUUGUAUUUUAAUAGAGACGGGGUUUCACCGUGUUAGCCAGGAUGGUUUCGAUCUCCUGACCUCGUGAUCCACCCGCCCGCCUCGGCCUCCCAAAGUGCUGGGAUUACAGGCAUGAGCCACUGCGCCUGGCUCAAAUUAGAUUUCUAUAUCCAGUAACAGUAUCCUUCAAAAAUGAAGACAAAACAGAGACAUUGUCAAAUAAACAAAAACUGAGUUU